CUACGGGCCGCUGCAGUGGGGAAUAUUGCACAAUGGGCGCAAGCCUGAUGCAGCAACGCCGCGUGGGGGACGAAGGCCUUCGGGUUGUAAACCUCUUUUAGUAGGGAAGAAGCGCAAGUGACGGUACCUACAGAAAAAGCACCGGCUAACUACGUGCCAGCGAGCCGCGGUAAUACGUAGGGUGCAAGCGUUGUCCGGAAUUAUUGGGCGUAAAGAGCUCGUAGGCGGUUUGUCGCGUCUGCUGUGAAAAUCCGAGGCUCAACCUCGGACCUGCAGUGGGUACGGGCAAACUAGAGUGCGGUAGGGGAGAUUGGAAUUCCUGGUGUAGCGGUGGAAUGCGCAGAUAUCAGGAGGAACACCAAUGGCGAAGGCAGAUCUCUGGGCCGUAACUGACGCUGAGGAGCGAAAGCGUGGGGAGCGAACAGGAUUAGAUACCCCAGUAGUC
rnacentral:rRNA from 1 species